UUNGAGCUGCCUCUGGUAUCUGUUGACCC
rnacentral:piRNA from 1 species